CAACGACAACCACGAUGACUUCUACGAUAACAAGAGAUGUGCAUGCAUACGAAAAGCGUAAGCGCGAUUUUUGUUGGUUUGAUCAACCAGACCAUCUUCGUGAUAGGUUUCAAACCGAUCAAAUCUGACAUCAAAUCGUCGCUUCCGCCGUACGUAUGCAUGGUUAAUCUCUAAACCGUGCGGCCAUCUUCGCGAUAGGCUCGACAUGGUUAAAACGGUUGAUCGAGCGGCCAUCUUCGUGAUAGGCUCGACACGAUCAAGCCCGCUUAGUUUACUACAUAAACUGUGCGGCCAUCUUCGUGAUAGGCUCGACAAGGUCGAAAGGAUUAAUCGAGCGGCCAUCUUCGUGAUAGGCUCGACACGAUUAAACCCCGCGCACUUGAACAAAACGUGAUAAAAAUAAUAAUAAAAAAUGGACGAAUACUGUCGUUGUUUGCCAUCUUCAUAUCGCCAUCUUCGCGAUAAGCACCGUCAUUUUCAUAACAAGCUCGACGUGAAUUAAUCUCGUAUAUUUGGACAAAAAUAUAUAUAAAA
rnacentral:lncRNA from 1 species